CGGACGCCUUCUUGACGGAGACCUGCAGGCUGUUCGCAGAGAAGGCCAAGCCUGCCUGCGCGGGGACAGGCUCGAAGCCCCUGGGGGCCACAGCACAGGCUGGGCCUGGAGGCUGCAGCCUGAUGCCGCCGGUCUCCCGCUUCCAAGCUGGUGUCCUGUCGGCCAAGCGCCGUGACAGGAGGGGACAGCUGCUGCUCCCCACUUGAGCUAUAAAAAGCCCCAGCGCCCGAGUGAGCAGAGGACGCGCUGAGCGGAUACACGGACCUUGCUGGACUCCCGGAGUGCGGCUGGACCACCAUGCUCAGGUUGGCCUUGGCCCCCAGGCUGCUGCAGACGCCCCUGAGGGGCUGGGUGGUCCCCAGGGCACACGUCUCCGCCAAGCCGGCCAGGACGCCCACUUCUCCCAUGGAGCAAGCCAUCGGGCUAUCCGUGAUGUUCCUCAGCUUCCUGACCCCCGCGGGCUGGGUCCUGUUCCACCUGGAGAGCUACAAGACAGGCUCCACCAAAUGAAGGCCCUGCAGCUCAGGAUCCAGGCACUGGAUGAAAGAUCGCAUUAAACCUUCCCUCCACCUAG